CGGCACCAGUUAUAACUAACUCCCCACAUCAGGAGGCAGAGAAUGUGACGAAGUGUCUUUGUGUGGACUCCGAGAUGCGGGACGUGGUGGGUGAAGAUUGACCACCAGGCGGAAAGGAAACGGAGCGGAGUGGGAUGGAGAGGAGAGUCACCUUUAGAGAGAGGCGUAAGUACCUGCUUUUCGUGACGAAGUGUGUAAGGCAGCACAACUGGCACCCAACUAAUCACACGAUGUAUAAGUGUGGUGUCGCUUUCUGGUCCCGAUGUCCCUGACCACCAUCAAGUCUAGUAAUUGUUUGGCUCCCGGUCCCCUUCACCGGCUCCGUCAGAGUGCUCCUGUGAACUUUUGAGAGAAUUGUACCGUUUGCUGGCUUUGUCCCCUUCGGCAGAUUUUCUCUUGAACUUUUGGCUAACACACGACUUGUUGACUGCUGAGUGGACAGAACAACUAAAAACAAUUAAUGAGAAGAAAUGAAAUUUACGUAACAGCUAUUACAGAAACAAGAUGAUUAACUGGGCAACAGAAUAGUUUAAAUGAAUAUUAACUUAUAAAUUAGUUUGUGCUAUAUUAACUGAAAGAUAGGAUAGCUAAGUGGAAGACAACUAACUUUGACAUAAUUACUUGAAGGUAGUAUUAUUCUGAUUUGUAAUUGAGAGACAACUAAUUAGCAAACGGGACAAAUAACUACGAGUACACAAGGAGGCUGGUUGAUAAGAAGUUGGAGGAGUGCUAAAUGCACGACAAUUAAC